rnacentral:rRNA from 1 species
GCUUAACACAUGCAAGUCGAACGGUGAAGCCAAGCUUGCUUGGUGGAUCAGUGGCGAACGGGUGAGUAACACGUGAGCAACCUGCCCUGGACUCUGGGAUAAGCGCUGGAAACGGCGUCUAAUACUGGAUAUGAGCCCCUAUCGCAUGGUGGGGGUUGGAAAGAUUUUUUGGUCUGGGAUGGGCUCGCGGCCUAUCAGCUUGUUGGUGAGGUAAUGGCUCACCAAGGCGUCGACGGGUAGCCGGCCUGAGAGGGUGACCGGCCACACUGGGACUGAGACACGGCCCAGACUCCUACGGGAGGCAGCAGUGGGGAAUAUUGCACAAUGGGCGAAAGCCUGAUGCAGCAACGCCGCGUGAGGGAUGACGGCCUUCGGGUUGUAAACCUCUUUUAGCAGGGAAGAAGCGAAAGUGACGGUACCUGCAGAAAAAGCGCCGGCUAACUACGUGCCAGCAGCCGCGGUAAUACGUAGGGCGCAAGCGUUAUCCGGAAUUAUUGGGCGUAAAGAGCUCGUAGGCGGUUUGUCGCGUCUGCUGUGAAAUCCCGAGGCUCAACCUCGGGCCUGCAGUGGGUACGGGCAGACUAGAGUGCGGUAGGGGAGAUUGGAAUUCCUGGUGUAGCGGUGGAAUGCGCAGAUAUCAGGAGGAACACCGAUGGCGAAGGCAGAUCUCUGGGCCGUAACUGACGCUGAGGAGCGAAAGGGUGGGGAGCAAACAGGCUUAGAUACCCUGGUAGUCCACCCCGUAAACGUUGGGAACUAGUUGUGGGGACCAUUCC